AUCAUCUUUUACAAUAAAAUUGGAAUAUAUGACGUCAGCUCUCCAUUUUAAAGUUAAAUGGUGUGGAAGAAUAGGUCCAACUAGAAUGUUACCGAUGAAAUCCACCAUUACCAUGCUCAAAAAGCCCAAAGUUAUAUGUCAUUAUCCGAUCAUCAUAUAUGAUAUAAGGAAGGGAUCAGGGGCACAGACAAAGAAAAAGCUGAUAUCUUGCUCUGCUUUCUUAUCUAUAAUCUCUGUGUAGCUAUUUGGGUGCGUUUUGUGUGUAGAAAAAGGUGAUGAUGCUGGAGCUAUUUGUGCUGGGUUGCACAGGAGUUGUAUUGUUCCUUCACGGAGCCCAUUUCUUCUUCCACUUUUUAUCUCAGCAGUUUGCCCUUAGAUCUCUCAGUUUUCUGGGAUUUGUCGGCUGGUAGAGCUGGAAAAAUAGAAAAGAGGAUGAUAGAUCGCUCAAGCAAAGUGAAAGGUAGCUUGCAGCUGCGGUGACCCCUUAAAAAUAUAUUUUAUAGGUUUAUUAUUGUUUAUAUCAUAAAAUUAUAAGUUAAUUACCAAAAAUAAUAAAAUUAUAAGUUGAACA